rnacentral:rRNA from 1 species
AUACGGAGGGGGCUAGCGUUGUUCGGAAUUACUGGGCGUAAAGCGCGCGUAGGCGGGUUGGCAAGUUGAAGGUGAAAUCCCAGGGCUCAACCCUGGAACUGCCUCCAAAACUGCCAGUCUUGAGUUCGGAAGAGGUGAGUGGAAUUCCUAGUGUAGAGGUGAAAUUCGUAGAUAUUAGGAAGAACACCAGUGGCGAAGGCGACUCACUGGUCCGAUACUGACGCUGAGGUGCGAAAGCGUGGGGAGCAAACAGGAUUAGAAACCCCGGUAGUCC